rnacentral:rRNA from 1 species
UGGUCAAGUUAUUAAGGGUGCAGGGCGGAUGCCUUGGCACUAGGAGCCGAUGAAGGACGUGAUAAGCUGCGAUAAGCUUCGGGGAGUUGCACGUAAACUUUGAUCCGAAGAUUUCCGAAUGAGGAAACUCACUUAGAGUAAUGUCUAAGUAUCAUUAAGUGAAUACAUAGCUUAAUG